UACAAGGUUAGGGAUCUGAGGUGCCAGUU
rnacentral:piRNA from 1 species